GAGUUUGAUCCUGGCUCAGAUUGAACGCUGGCGGCAGGCCUAACACAUGCAAGUCGAGCGGAUGACGGGAGCUUGCUCCUUGAUUCAGCGGCGGACGGGUGAGUAAUGCCUAGGAAUCUGCCUGGUAGUGGGGGACAACGUUUCGAAAGGAACGCUAAUACCGCAUACGUCCUACGGGAGAAAGCAGGGGACCUUCGGGCCUUGCGCUAUCAGAUGAGCCUAGGUCGGAUUAGCUAGUUGGUGGGGUAAUGGCUCGCCAAGGCGACGAUCCGUAACUGGUCUGAGAGGAUGAUCAGUCACACUGGAACUGAGACACGGUCCAGACUCCCACGGGAGGCAGCAGUGGGGAAUAUUGGACAAUGGGCGAAAGCCUGAUCCAGCCAUGCCGCGUGUGUGAAGAAGGUCUUCGGAUUGUAAAGCACUUUAAGUUGGGAGGAAGGGCAGUAAGUUAAUACCUUGCUGUUUUGACGUUACCGACAGAAUAAGCACCGGCUAACUCUGUGCCAGCCGCCGAC
rnacentral:rRNA from 1 species